GGAUCUGGCAAAGACAGAAUCAGUACAAUGACUGAGCAAUCUUUUCAUGAGAUUUAUGAUCCACCCAGGUCCAAGCCAAAGCAGGGAAGGAGGGAGUUUGUAUCCUCCUGUGGACAAAGAAGAGAUGAGCCUCCUUGUUGACAGGCUGACCUUCCCAGGAUCCUUAAACUGCCUGAAGCACAGUCUGCUGCAGGGAGAGGUGCACGCUUCCUCCUUGGGUCUCGGAUCAGGUGGGGAUAAAAGUUAUUGCUGCAGUUCCGUCACCAGCAUUAGAGGAAGCUCGGUGGAUGAGGUACAAUCCAAGAAUGAGACUCAUUUUUCAUCUACCAAGCGUUAUGGGAUGAAGCACCAAGUCAUUAGAAAUGGAUUUUCCAUUCUGCAUCUUUUAAUGAGGAGAUUGAAGAAUAGACAUAUGGAGAAGCUUGCUAAUGGCAAUCCUGUGUGUAAGUGGGGAGCUAGAUUUCCAACCUAGAUCUGUCUGACUCCAAAAGCUGUGCUCUUUCUUCCCUGACCCUUGGUUUUCCAGUGCAUAUUUUCUUAGAAAAAAAGGCCAAAUGUCAGUAAAAUUCCAUUAUAAGUUAUAUUUUCCACUAUAAGUCAAUAUUUUCUAUGAUGUAAAUUUCUGUAAGUGCCCAAUUUUUGUAGGUACCUCAGACACUUAGCUAGUGUGGUAAAUAUUUCAACAUCAAAUUGAUAAUAAAGGCACAUCUCUAUUAGUUUCUCAACAUUUGGACAAAAAGAAACCUUAUAAAGUUUUAUUUUCACUCUCAACCAAUAAUGUCAUUCCUAUUCCCUAUGUUGUAUUUGAAACUAUUCCUCAACUGUGGUUGAUCCCUGGACAACUCUUUUGGUCCAUCUCAUGACCAACUUUGCACACACACAAUUUCUUGUGUUGCUAUUAUCUGCUGGAAUGAGGCAAUGGUCCUCCCUUGAGCCCACUAGGUUAUCAAAAAGAGAUAUACUCUGGUAGCAAGUUAGAUGCACAUCAAUUUGGGGAAAAUGGUAGUAAUAAUGAUAACGCAAAAAUAAAGUAGCUCCUGUUUUGUGUACUUAUUAGGUGCUGGAUACUUUGCAUGCAUCAUUUCAUUUAAUCCUCUCUACAGAUCAAUAGGGCAGAUAUUGUGAUCAAUAUUUUACAAAUGGAAACUAUAACCCAGAGAGUUUAAGCAACUUGCUCAAACUUGUCAUGAGCUAGGGAGCUUAUAGAACUGGGAUUUGAACACUAGGUUUAAGAGCAUGCUUGUCAUGUUUCUGAAGUUGCCUGAUGGAUAAAUAAUUCUAUAAGUUCUUCCGUGCUAUCCUUUGGAAACAAGAUGGGCUGUUGAAUCGUAAAGUCGGAUGAAGUUUUAACUGUUGCUGUGACUGACCUAAAGAGGAUUUGCCUCCACCAAUGCUACCCUGGAGGGAGGUCCCAACUAGGGUCCCAAAGGUAUGGAACCUCCUGGAGUAGUUGGAGCUCACACUGAUAUAGGAAUCUGAUAAAAAAUAAAUUGAUGCUUCUUGUAUUUUGGUCAAGACUUACUGCUGUGACUUGUUCCCAUGAACCAACAUCCUCUUGUGAAGGAAGGGCCAAAGUUUCCUUUAUUCCCAAGAGAACUGAUUACAGUGACUGUUUCUAUUUUGGAAAUUAAUUUACUGAAAGCCAAGGUAACCCCAUUUCACUUCUCCCUAUCAAAACAGCUCAUGUGGUGGGAUAUACUAUUGACACAGCUGUCUUAACCUAUGUGUGGCAAAAUAUUAGCUUACUAAAGACCAUUCCUCAUCACCAUUUUCCUUAGAGGAGUAUCAUGCAAAAAAAGAGAAGCCCAUGGUAGUCAAGACUGUGGUAAGAAAACUUGCUUUGUACUCUCUUUUACUUGAAAUUUUUUAUUGAGCUGUAGAUUCACAUGCAGUUCUAAGGAGUAAUACAGAGAGAUCCUGUAUAUACUUUCCCCAGCUUCUCUCAGGGGUAACAUCUUGCAAACUACAGCAUUUCAGCACAACCAGGAUAUUGACAUUAAUACACUCCACUGAUCUUAUUCAGAUGUCCUCAGUUUUACUUAUACUCGUGUGAGUGUGUUUAGUUCUAUACAACUUUAUCAGGUCAUUUUCUGUAUCUAUCACCACAGUCAAGACACUGAACAAUUCCAUCACCACAAGGAUCCCUCCUGUUGCCUUUUUAUAACCAUACCCUCUUCUGUCCCCCUCUACACCUCUCACCCCCAUCCCUAAACCCUGGCAACUACUAAUAUGCCCUUCAUUUCUAAAAUUUUGUCAUUUCAAAAAUGUUAUAUAAAUGGAAUCAUAUAUUAUACAAACUUUAGGAUUGGCUUUUUUUACUCAGCCUAAUUCUCUGAAGGUCCGUCCAAGUUGUUGCAAGUAUCAAUAUUCAUUUAUUUUUGUUGUUGAGUAGUAUCCCAUGGUAUGGAUGCACCACAGUUUAUUCAUCUGUUGAAGGACACCUGGGCUGUUUCAAACUUUGGCUAUUACAAAUAAAGCUGCUAUGAAAAUUCAAGUGCAGCUUUUUGUGGGGACAUAGGUUUUACUUUCUCAGGGAUCAAUGCCCCAAAGUGCAAGGGCUGGCUUACUGCUUGUAAGUAAAUAAGUACAAUAGUAUUGAUUGUCUAGUUGUAUAACAAACUGUCAAGCUGUUUUCCAGAGUGGCUGUACCUUCUUACUUCCUACCAGCAAUGUAUGUGUGAUACAGUUUUUGCACAUCCUCACCAGCAUUUGGCAUUGUCAUUAUUUUCAUUUUAGCCAUUCUGAUGGGUGUACAGUAUUUUAUUGUGGUUUUAAUUUGCAUUUAUCUGAAUGGCUAAUGACGUUCGAUAUCUUUUCAUGUGCUUAUAUACCAUCCAAAUGUCCUCUUCAGUGAAAUCUCUGUUUGUAUCUUUUGUCCUGCUUUGUAUUCUAAAGUAUACAACUUUCUAGCUUCAGUAGUGGGUUUUUUUAAAUUAGAAAAAACAUUGAUACCAGGUACAAGACGUUUGUCAUUGUUUCAUUUCAGACAGAGACGCCAACCCAUUUCCCACAGAUAGAACCCUUAUAUUUGUACUCAAGAUUCACUUGAGGGCUCGGGAACCAAGGGUCAGGGAAAUGGCUUCCAGAACACUCUUUAAAACAUUUUUUUUUAGUUUCACAAAGUAUUUGGGAUACUUAGGUAUUGUAAUCACUUCAGUUAAUUAGUUAAUAAAUUAGGUCAAUAAUGGAAAAUAAAUUUACAUUAUUUUUAUACAUCUGAAUUGUAGGCAAUACUAUACUCCCCAUCAACAGCCAGGUGCAGCUAGAAGAAAACUUCCAAGAAGAGGCAGCAGAGUCUAUAAGAAGAUGUUGAACCUGUGUUGGGCAGCUGGUCUCAGCAGGGCCUGUAAGACAAGCAUCAAUUGCCAACCCUCGGCAUGUGGUUUAUUAUCAGUGAGUGGCAGUAGAGAACUGACUGAGUGCCAAGAGAAGCUGGAACCUCCUCUUGCUCAGCCACAGCACAGACCAGCAUAACCGGACCAACGGCUGGGUGCUUGGGGCAAGUCUCCCUGCAGCGAAGGGAGGAGGAAUGAGUAAUGAUGCCUGGGACAGAGAAAGUAGUGGUGUCCCUGGGGGCCAUACCUGUCUAGACCCCAAUAUAGAGAAGGGACAGUUUCCAAGCCAGUGAAAACAGAGAUGGGUGGGAUGGACCCACAAGAGAUAUUGGAGGGAACAGGACAUAGUUUUGCAUAGUUGUUUGGGGAAAGAAGUCUUCAAAUGAGAGGGAAGCCCCAGAUCUAUGUGGAGAAAUAUUACAUCUUUUUUUUCCUUUCCUUCCAGAACCAAAGCAGUGAGAGUGGCUUUUAGAAAAUACAGAAACUGUAAACCCUGGUGUGGGGCUUGUUGGCAGUGGGUAGUGAGUGAAUGAAUAACCCAUUUAGGAUUAUAUUUUAGAUUUUGGAGUCUACAUAUAUUAGUCCAAUCUCUGCGCUCCUCCUCAAAUACUCCCCAAAGCUAUAGCCUGGAUGGACCAACACCACCCCAAAUUAAAGGAAGAAAGAAAUUCUGGACUAAUAGACUAAAGGAUUGACUCUCAUGAUUUGAGGAGUAAAUAAAAUGUCUCCCAGUAUUUCCCAGCUUAUCUUCCCCUCAGCUACCAUGAUCUUUUACUGCUAAUUUUUAAAACCUAAUUGCUUAAACAAACUGACCCCACUUCCUUAUUCCCCUCGCUCUUCAACCUGACUUUUGUCCCCAUCUCUCCUCCAAUAGAGUUCCUGCUAAUGACCUCCAUGUCACUAAAUGCAAUGAGCAUUUUUUCAGUCUUCAUCUUACUUGACCACUCAGCAGCAUUUUUUUUCUGUGACGCCUAAUGUCCCUCCUACCUUCCUAUCUCUUAUUUUUAGACUUAUCCUCUUUUCUUGAGACCUUUAAAGUUGGUGCCCCUCAAGAUUUAUUCCUAAACUUUUUCUCUUAAUCGACAUCCAUAGAUAUGGGAUGUCACCCCUACCCAUUUGAAGCUAUCAAAUUCCCUCAUUCAAUCAAACUUAUCAUACUAAUCAAACUUAACUCUUAUUCCCCCUUGCCCUCCCAUCCUCCAAUUCACUCUCCACAGUGUUAUUUUAAAGAAGUACUCUUGUCACUUCUCUGCCCUUGGAUAAAGACUGGCUUCUGCUUGCUUCUCCUACUGCACCACAUUCAGCUUCUAUCAACAUCCUCCUUUCAGUUCUUUCUCUUUCAAGGUCUUUGCUAAGGCAGUUACCUCUGCCUGGAAUAUUUCUACCAUUCUCUGUGCCCCCCACAACCUCAUCUAGUUCUUGCCUAAUCAUCCUUCAUGUUUUUGCCCAAAUGUUACUUCCUCAGGAAGGCUUCCUGACAACACCAAAAUAGAUCAAGUCCAUCUCUCACAUGCAGAGCCCCGUGAACUCUUCCUUUAAAGGCUUGUCACUGUUUAUAUGUAUUCGUGUGAUUAUUUAAUUAAUUCGUGUCUCUCGUAUUAGCUCCAGAAGGGGAGAUGCCUUGGCUGUUAGUUCUCUCUGCACCUCAGGAACCCAGGACAGAGAAUGAGUGAAGAAACCGAGGUCUUCCACAGUCAGAGGGCACGGGGAUGCUGGAGUACGCAUGGAAGGCUGGCAGGAGGUGAUGGGCCGGAGGGCUCCGGCAGGACCAGGCAACACCAGAUCUCUCUGAAAACAGAGGGGAGGAAUAAAACCAAAUGGACAAACAAACAAAAGAUGUCCCAGCUCAUUGCAAAAGAACAAGACGCUAUUUUAAAUACAAGCACAUUAAUAAAAAAAAUCUUGAUUCCAGAAAAGUUACACUGUCUUGCCUAAAAUCAUCUUGCCCUAUAGCCAAUGGUUUAGAGAAAUCAUGCUUUUCAAUGGGACCUCUAAAAAUAUAUACCAUUGUAUGGAUGGGAGAGUCUGUAAAGAGAAUUUAUACUAUAAUGAGUCAUUAUUUUAAAAAGCCCCAAUAUAUAAUCUGUGGCAUGUGUACAACAAAUGGUUAGAUUUCUUUUUGUUACUGAUAAAUUACUAAAAAGUCCAGCUUGUUCAAACAAAUGUUUUAUUGUUUUUACAAUUUUCCUCCUAAUUGAAAAACGGUCAAACAUUAAACAAUAUAUCUUCCACUGGGUGAAACAUAGUUGAACUUUAUUGUUUUUUGGCUGAGGAAGAUUGGCCCUGAGCUAACAUCUAUUGCCAAUCUUCCUCCUUUUGCUUGAGGAAGAUUCUCCUUGAACUAAUAUCUGUGUCAAUCUUCCUCUAUUUUGUAUGUGGGUCACUGCCACAGCAUGACUGAUGAACGGUUUAGGUCCAUGCCUGGGAACUGAAUCUAGGCUGCCGAAGCAGAGUGCGUUGAACUUAACAACUAGGCCACAGGGCCAGCCCCUUGAACUUUCUUUUUAAUCAACUCUACAACUGACACAGCUUGUCAUUGUUGAAUCCAUUUUUAGACACCCAGAAAUGGAUUCUUCCUGUGAGUGACAUCACACAGUUGGAUUGGAAGUUUCCUGUUCCAUCUCCAGAGGAGAUGACAGAGUGUGGCUUUAAGGAGAUACUGGGUGCAGACCUUGCCUCUUGGACUGAGAAGCCUUUCAGUGAGUCAGAAGAACAGGUAAUUGCAUUAAUCUUAUGUAAACCAGUCACCAGGAAACACUUGCUAUUUAUUCCACAAUCUAUUCUCCCUCUUUCAUCAUCACCAUUUGUGUUCCACCCAUACAGCAAAGCUCAUCUAAGAGAAAAAACAUUGCCAGCAGUAUUUACCUUCUGCUCAGCAUGAGAACAUUUGUCUUUGUGCAGUGAAUACGUCCAUUUAUAAGCAAACAGUAAUACUCUGGAAAGAAAAAUGAAGUAUGUUAAUAAACCAUUGUCCAC
ensembl:lncRNA